UACGGGGGAUGCAAGUGUUAUCCGGAAUCAUUGGGCGUAAAGCGUCUGUAGGUGGUUGACCAAGUCUGUUGUUAAAAAUCAGGGCUUAACCCUGAUCCGGCAACAGAAACUAGUAAACUUGAGUACGGUAGGGGCAGAGGGAAUUCUCGGUGUAGUGGUGAAAUACGUAGAUAUCGAGAAGAACACCAAUAGCGAAAGCACUCUGCUGGGCCGAAACUGACAUUGAGAGACGAAAGCUAGGGGAGCAAAAGGG
rnacentral:rRNA from 1 species